UACGAAGGGGGCUAGCGUUGCUCGGAAUGACUGGGCGUAAAGGGCGCGUAGGCGGUUCAUACAGUCAGAUGUGAAAUUCCUGGGCUCAACCUGGGGGCUGCAUUUGAUACGUGUGGACUAGAGUGGGGAAGAGGGUCGUGGAAUUCCCAGUGUAGAGGUGAAAUUCGUAGAUAUUGGGAAGAACACCAGAGGCGAAAGCGGCGACCUGGACAGGUACUGACACUCAACUACGAAAGCGUGGGGAGCAAACAGG
rnacentral:rRNA from 1 species